GUUCUUUGCUGUUUUUUGUUCUUUGAUUUACUGGUUGACCCAAAUAUUCUUAAGCAGGAUGACAUUUAGCUUCCAAGUGUUUGAAUUUCUUCCAAAAUUUUCUUGUGAUUGAGUUCCAGUUUCAAAGCAUUAUGGUCUGGGAAUAUGCAGGGAAUAAUCUCAA